AUGAAGACGGCCCGUCAUCGCUGAACAAUGAUAGAAAAAUCUGGGUGCUGA
rnacentral:snoRNA from 1 species